rnacentral:snoRNA from 10 species
CCCUGCAUUCGAAAGUGAUCAUGAGCUGCCCGUGCCCUGGUCAUUGGUAGUGCAGGGAGAGGAACUGCCGAGAGCACUUCCCCGUGUUUGGAGGGUCCACUCCUGUCUCUUCCAAACCCUGGAGCUUUCCCACA